ensembl:lncRNA
AUGCAAUAUUUUAUUCAUAUUAUUGGUAUUCAGACUUCUCUACAACACUCUAUUGUAGAGAUCAAUAAUCUCCAUGAAGCUCCAGUUUCUGAAGUCCUCGCUGCUGUAGAGGAACAGCAGGAGCAGGACGUCCUCCAAACUCAGGACAUUCACGCUUCAAUUAGUUCCUCUAAAGAUGAAGCGGAGGAGCCAGACAACACUAAUAGCCAAAUUUUCUGGUGAUAUGAAUUUGGCCCCAAGCUGUUGGGUGAAGGAGGCUAUGGCUAUGUGUGUGCAGGAACUCGAUUCAAGGAAUGCCUUUCGGUUUCAUUGUUUUACUUACUCUUUUUUCACUUACAAAACUUUCCAUAUAUAAAUAUAAAAAGGUGAAACAUAUAAGUUAAUAAUUAGAUAUCUGUCUCAUCUUUUUGAACAGAAUGCUGCCAGAUGAUCUGUGAUUGUGUGCAGCCUGAUCCGCAGCGGAGACUUGUCCUGGAGGAGAUGCAGCUCCAUGACUGGUUUAUUAUAAGAUUAGAGUCCAAGAUUUGCUAAAUGCUUGUUCAUUAAAUCAGUCAAAUUUGCUCUAAAUGUAGUGACUUUAGAUAAAUAACAGUGAUUUAUGUUUUUGUUCCAGGUCGUGGAGUAAAACAUGGAGAGCAAGAAAACAACUACUCUCUGUCACGGCCAAUGUUGUAGUUUUCUUUUUUUGGGUCUUGGGUCAGGUUUGUGUCUGGCAGGUUAACAUGAGCAGCCUUUCCAUCGCUCUGCUUCGGUCUUGGCCUCUUGUUUCCUGGCAGCACCUGCUACCUUGAAGUGGCAUUAUUUAUCAUUUUAGAUAUUUAUAUUAAGAUAUUUGUGUUUGUGAUAGUUAUAAGGAAUUGUAUAAGAAAAAUGUGUAAUUUUUGUAAGUAUAAUAAUAGUAUAAUAAUGUAUUGUUAAUAAGUAUCAUGUGUUAAGAGAAUUUAAGAUAUUUGUAUUUGUAUUAAGAUAUUUAUGUUCUGCGUUAUAUUAGAAGAGUGGCUGUAAUUUGGACUGCUGUAAUCAAUCUAUGUGUGUAUGUGUGUGUGUGUAUGUGUGUGUAUAUAAUAAAUACAUAAACAAAAAGUAGUCUCCCA